rnacentral:rRNA from 1 species
AUAUUUGCUAAAGAUUCAUCGCUGAUAGAUAGGCAUGCGUUCCAUUAGGCAGUUGGCGGGGUAACGGCCCACCAAACCGACGAUGGAUAGGGGUUCUGAGAGGAAGGUCCCCCACAUUGGUACUGAGACACGGACCAAACUCCUACGGGAGGCAGCAGUGAGGAAUAUUGGUCAAUGGCCGAGAGGCUGAACCAGCCAAGUCGCGUGAGGGAUGAAGGUUCUAUGGAUCGUAAACCUCUUUUAUAAGGGAAUAAAGUGCGGGACGUGUCCCGUUUUGUAUGUACCUUAUGAAUAAGGAUCGGCUAACUCCGUGCCAGCAGCCGCGGUAAUACGGAGGAUCCGAGCGUUAUCCGGAUUUAUUGGGUUUAAAGGGUGCGUAGGCGGCCUUUUAAGUCAGCGGUGAAAGUCUGUGGCUCAACCAUAGAAUUGCCGUUGAAACUGGGGGGCUUGAGUAUGUUUGAGGCAGGCGGAAUGCGUGGUGUAGCGGUGAAAUGCAUAGAUAUCACGCAGAACCCCGAUUGCGAAGGCAGCCUGCCAAGCCAUGACUGACGCUGAUGCACGAAAGCGUGGGGAUCAAACAGGAUUAGAUACCCUGGUAGUCCACGCAGUAAACGAUGAUCACUAGCUGUUUGCGAUACACAGUAAGCGGCACAGCGAAAGCGUUAAGUGAUCCACCUGGGGAGUACGCCGGCAACGGUGAAACUCAAAGGAAUUGACGGGGGCCCGCACAAGCGGAGGAACAUGUGGUUUAAUUCGAUGAUACGCGAGGAACCUUACCCGGGUUUGAACGCAUUCGGACCGAGGUGGAAACACCUUUUCUAGCAAUAGCCGUUUGCGAGGUGCUGCAUGGUUGUCGUCAGCUCGUGCCGUGAGGUGUCGGCUUAAGUGCCAUAACGAGCGCAACCCUUGCCACUAGUUACUAACAGGUGAUGCUGAGGACUCUGGUGGGACUGCCAGCGUAAGCUGCGAGGAAGGCGGGGAUGACGUCAAAUCAGCACGGCCCUUACAUCCGGGGCGACACACGUGUUACAAUGGCGUGGACAAAGGGAGGCCACCUGGCGACAGGGAGCGAAUCCCCAAACCACGUCUCAGUUCGGAUCGGAGUCUGCAACCCGACUCCGUGAAGCUGGAUUCGCUAGUAAUCGCGCAUCAGCCAUGGCGCGGUGAAUACGUUCCCGGGCCUUGUACACACCGCCCGUCAAGCCAUGGGAGCCGGGGGUACCUGAAGUCCGUAACCGCGAGGAUCGGCCUAGGGUAAAACUGGUGACUGGGGCUAAGUCGUAACAAGGUAGCCGUACCGGAAGGUGCGGCUGGAACACCU